rnacentral:rRNA from 1 species
GUGAGGAAUAUUGGUCAAUGGGCGAGAGCCUGAACCAGCCAAGUCGCGUGAAGGAAGAAGGAUCUAUGGUUCGUAUACUUCUUUUGCAGGGGAAUAAAGUGCGGGACGUGUCCUGUUUUGUAUGUACCCUGAGAAUAAGGAUCGGCUAACUCCGUGCCAGCAGCCGCGGUAAUACGGAGGAUCCGAGCGUUAUCCGGAUUUAUUGGGUUUAAAGGGUGCGUAGGUGGUUUGAUAAGUCAGCGGUGAAAGUUUGCAGCUUAACUGUAAAAAUGCCGUUGAAACUGUCGGACUUGAGUGUAAAUGAGGUAGGCGGAAUGCGUGGUGUAGCGGUGAAAUGCAUAGAUAUCACGCAGAACUCCGAUUGCGAAGGCAGCUUACUAAGCUACAACUGACACUGAAGCACGAAAGCGUGGGGAUCAAACAGGAUUAGAUACCCUAGUAGUCC